rnacentral:snRNA from 1 species
CCCAUCAGAACUCCGCAG